GACGAACGCUGGCGGCGUGCUUAACACAUGCAAGUCGAACGGAAAGGCCCUGCUUUUGUGGGGUGCUCGAUUGGCGAACGGGGGAGUAACACGUGAGUAACCUGCCCUUGACUUUGGGAUAACUUCAGGAAACUGGGGCUAAUACCGGAUAGGAGCUCCUGCUGCGUGGUGGGGGUUGGAAAGUUUCGGCGGUUGGGGAUGGACUCGCGGCUUAUCAGCUUGUUGGUGGGGUAGUGGCUUACCAAGGCUUUGACGGGUAGCCGGCCUGAGAGGGUGACCGGCCACAUUGGGACUGAGAUACGGCCCAGACUCCUACGGGAGGCAGCAGUGGGGAAUAUUGCACAAUGGGCGGAAGCCUGAUGCAGCAACGCCGCGUGCGGGAUGACGGCCUUCGGGUUGUAAACCGCUUUCGCCUGUGACGAAGCGUGAGUGACGGUAAUGGGUAAAGAAGCACCGGCUAACUACGUG
rnacentral:rRNA from 1 species